rnacentral:lncRNA from 1 species
GGCUCGGUCAAGAUCGGAUGAGUCACGAGUUUGCCUGUGCAGCUCGUGACUCGUCCGAUCACACCUGAGACUGAGAGGAGGCGUCGAGGGACAGAAAGAAGGAGGGGAAUCGGAGAGUGUGGCACACUGCGCCCCAGGACGAGUCGGCUGCUAAGCAGGACAGGCAGAGGAGGCAAAAACACCCGGAGGGCCGGAAAAAUGUCAUUGGCGGGCCUCAUAUGGCCUGUGGGCCAUAGUUUGAGGACCCCUGGUAUAGGCAAUAAAACCAUAUUUUCACUCGGAUUUCUGAAAAUUUUAUUGCCGAUAAUUAUCAUUUCAUUAUCACCCAUUUUAUUGUUUUACGUUCUCCCGUUUUCUGUGAUUCGUAUGGACUGGUUGAACACCUACAGUUGGAAUACUGAAGAACUGGUGAA